GAGCGGGCGGGCGCGGGCGGAGCAGGCGGGCGCGGCGGCCCGAGCGGCCGUUCCCUCCGGCCCGGAGCCGAGCCGAGCCGGGCGCACGGCCCAGCCCCCGCGGAGCGCUCUCGGGGCGCUCUCGGGCGCUGGGAGACCCUGCCGGCCCCGGCCCGCCCCCCCGGGCGCCCCUGCCCGCCGCAGCUCGGGGAGGGCCGGCGCGCCGCCCUCUCGCGGCCAGGGGCCCGGGCCCGGGAGGGGGCCGCAGGCUGGUCUGCCUAGCGCCCGCGGGACCGGCCAGCUCGCGCAAAGCCGCGUCCUCCUGGCGGGGAGCCGAUCGUGGCGCCUGCGGCUCCGCAGCCCGGGCCGCCCCAUCCCGCCCGCUCCGCGCCGGUGUCGCCCAACCCCGGCGCCCGCCUGCGUGCCCAGCCCUGCGGAGACCGUGCUGAGCCCCCCUACCCGCGGUGUGCCCGGCCCCUCACCCCCGCCAGUGUGACCCAGACCCAUGGUCUGUUGCCCGCAGGCUUUGGGAACAGCGUUCUUGUAACCGAUGACGGGGCCAGAGACACCCCAGGAGGCGUCCCACCACAGGGCAGCCGCGCUCUGGUUCCGGGGUACCCCAGCGCUGGAACCUGGAAGCACCCACCCCCUUCCCGACAGCCCACUCCACCCCAGUCUCACUGUCAUCGCAGCUUGGGGCGAUCACAGCGCAGUAUAAUCAUUUCUCAUCCCACCUCCCACGCCUGGGGUCCAGAAAUAACUGCUGGGAGGAAGAGAGAGGGAGGAGGACUGGGCAGACCUGCCCCCCAGAACCUCUCCUUCCAGCAGCUCUCCUGAGCCCACCGUGACCAGGCGGAGACUGAACUGAAGGGGAAGUGCCUUUGUCACCCCACACACGGAGUCACACUCAGCUGCAGUGAACUGGCAGGGCACUAGUCCAGACAUUGUUGGAGAAGCAUCUGGACCUGGAGACCUGGAGAAGCUACCUCGUCCUUAUGCUGGGCGGCCAUACCCCAGGCGCUCACCGAACCUUUGUCUGUGCCUCCAUCUUUAUGGCAGUGGUGCUGGCACAGUCCUGGGCAUCUGGGAAGUGGAUGAAGAAAGGUGGGGGUGGGGAGAUGGGCACUAGGUGGAUGCAUGAGUGGGUGGACAGAUGGGAGAUGGUGUCCAAAAGCAGUGUGGGCGGUGAGCGGAUGGAUGGAGGACAGUGGACAGAGGAAGGUGGUUGGACUGGUAGGGGAUGGACAGAGGAAGGCAGGUGGACAGGUAGGGGAUGCCAGCUGUAUUAUCUCUCUGGCCCCUCAUACGUCUUUUUAAAAUGUAGUGUUUGCACAUACCUUACUGAGCACAGGAAAUUU